AGAGAGAUGUCCAGACGGAUGAAUAUUGAUAUGACAUCACCGGCAAAAGUGUCGAGCAGUCAUUUAACCCAAUUACAUUCCAACCGCGUCGUGUUAUAUGCAAAGAAAUCAGGUGGCGAACUCCAGUAAUGAGUUCGAUUUUAUGCCAAAUUUAGACCUCAUUACUAUUUCCUAGGCGUGGCAAAGUGGUUAGAGGCGCGCGGCGGUGCGGAGUGGGUCUGGGAGCAUACAGCUCAGUUAUAUCAUUAAAUGGUAGGGUAGGCUUAAUAGUGCUUUGGAUUAUAGACGCUGAUGGCUUUCAAGAGUGUAGCCAAGGUGCCGUGAAAAGCAAAUGUCCCCCUGGCAUGUCCUGCUCCUUAAUACUGUCCUGCACUUCUACCCUCGCCCGCAGAGAAAUUUCCCGCUCUUGGGCUGAUGGAUGCAAAUGUAAGCUCUGUAAUUGGAUCAGUUCCCCAGAUACAGAUAAAUGGCUGCUGCUUUACUGGGGUUAUUUUGAGCUAUGUGAAGACAGCAGUGUGUCUCUAUGUGUGUGUGUGUGUGUGUGUGUGUGUGUGUGCAACAUUAAUGAGAAGGAGUUGAGACACGCUUUACUCAGUCACAACACUGUGCGCCUGUACCUAUACUGUACACAUUCACACACUAAAUGAGGAGGAGGCAGC